rnacentral:rRNA from 1 species
CCCUACGGGGGGCAGCAGUAGGGAAUUUUCGUCAAUGGGCGCGAGCCUGAACGAGCAAUGCCGCGUGAACGAGGAAGGUCUUCGGAUCGUAAAGUUCUGUUGAAGGGGAAAAAGAGCGGAGAGAGGAAAUGCUUUCUGAUUGAUAUUACCCUUCGAGGAAGUCACGGCUAACUACGUGCCAGCAGCAGCGGUAAUACGUAGGUGGCGAGCGUUAUCCGGAAUGAUUGGGCGUAAAGGGUGCGUAGGCGGCCUGCUAAGUCUGGAGUGAAAGGUACCGGCUCAACCGGUACAGGCUCUGGAAACUG